rnacentral:rRNA from 1 species
CAAAGGAAUUGACGGGGCCGCACAAGCGGUGGAGCAUGUGGUUAAUUCGAAGCAACGCGAAGAACCUUACCAGGUCUUGACAUCCCGAUGCUAUUUCUAGAGAUAGAAAGUUACUUCGGUACAUCGGUGACAGGUGGUGCAUGGUUGUCGUCAGCUCGUGUCGUGAGAUGUUGGGUUAAGUCCCGCAACGAGCGCAACCCCUAUGUUUAGUUGAUACGCAAGAUCACUCUAGACAGACUGCCGUUGACAAAACGGAGGAAGGUGGGACGACGUCAAAUCAUCAUGCCCCUUGUGUCCUGGGCUACACACGUACUACAAUGGCGGUCAUACAGAGGGAAGCAAUAUAGUGAUAUGGAGCAAACCCCUAAAAGCCGCCUCAGUUCAGAUCGCAGGCUGCAACCCGCCUGCGUGAAGUCGGAAUUGCUAGUAAUCGCGGAUCAGCAUGCCGCGGUCGAAUACGUUCCCGGGCCUU